rnacentral:rRNA from 1 species
AAUCUUGCGCAAUGGGCGAAAGCCUGACGCAGCAACGCCGCGUGGGGGACGAAGGCCUUCGGGUUGUAAACCCCUUUCAGCAGGGACGAUUAUGACGGUACCUGCAGAAGAAGCCCCGGCCAACUACGUGCCAGCAGCCGCGGUAAUACGUAGGGGGCGAGCGUUGUCCGGAUUUAUUGGGCGUAAAGAGCUCGUAGGCGGUUUGGCAAGUCGGGUGUGAAAACUCCGGGCUCAACUCGGAGACGCCACUCGAUACUGCUAUGACUCGAGUCCGGUAGGGGAGUGCGGAAUUCCUGGUGUAGCGGUGAAAUGCGCAGAUAUCAGGAGGAACACCGGUGGCGAAGGCGGCACUCUGGGCCGGUACUGACGCUGAGGAGCGAAAGCGUGGGGAGCGAACAGGAUUAGAUACCCUGGUAGUCCACGCCGUAAACGUUGGGCACUAGGUGUGGGGCUCGAUCGACGGGUUCCGUGCCGUAGCUAACGCAUUAAGUGCCCCGCCUGGGAAGCACGGCCGCAAGGCUA